rnacentral:lncRNA from 1 species
GUCUGUCUGAAAUCCUGUGCUGACCAGCUGGCCCCCAUCUUCACACAGAUCUUCAACAGAUCACUGGAGCUGUGCGAAGUCCCUUCAUGCUUCAAACGCUCCACCAUCAUCCCCGUCCCAAAGAAACCCAAAAUUACUGGACUUAAUGACUACAGACCUGUGGCUCUAACGUCUGUGGUCAUGAAGUCUUUUGAAAGACUGGUGCUGGCCCACCUGAAGGACAUCACUGGACCCUUGCUGGAUCCUCUUCAGUUUGCCUACAGAGCAAACAGGUCUGUGGACGAUGCAGUAAACAUGGGACUGCAUUAUGUUCUGCAACAUCUAGACAGACCAGGGACUUAUGUGAGGAUCCUGUUCGUGGACUUCAGCUCGGCCUUUAACACCAUCAUCCCAAACCUCCUCCUGCCCAAACUAACUCAGCUCUCCGUGCCCACCUCCGUCUGUCAGUGGAUCAACAGCUUCCUGACAGACAGGCAGCAGCUAGUGAGGCUGGGAAAAUACACAUCCAGCACCCGUACGAUCAGCACUGGAGCUCCUCAGGGUUGUGUUCUCUCUCCACUGCUCUUCUCCCUGUACACCAACGACUGCACCUCUAAAGACCCCUCUGUCAAGCUCCUGAAGUUUGCAGACGACACCACACUCAUCGGCCUCAUUCAGGACGGUGACGAGUCUGCUUACAGACAGGAGGUCGAGCAGCUGGCUGUCUGGUGCAGUCUCAACAACCUGGCGCUCAACACGCUAAAAACUGUGGAGAUGACCGUGGACUUCAGGAGAAACCCCUCUGCACUCCCCCCACUCACCAUCAUGGACAGCACUGUGACUGCAGUGGAGUCAUUCAGGUUCCUGGGCACCACAAUCUCUCAGGACCUGAAGUGGGACACUCACAUUGACUCCAUUGUGAAAAAGGCCCAGCAGAGGUUGUACUUCCUUCGCCAGCUGAGGAAGUUCAACCUGCCACAGGAGCUGCUGAAACAGUUCUACUCCGCCAUUAUUGAAUCUGUCCUCUGCACUUCAAUA